AUUGAACGCUGGCGGCAGGCUUAACACAUGCAAGUCUAGCGGAGAUGAGGUGCUUGCACCUUAUCUUAGCGGCGGACGGGUGAGUAAUGCUUAGGAAUCUGCCUAUUAGUGGGGGACAACAUUCCGAAAGGAAUGCUAAUACCGCAUACGUCCUACGGGAGAAAGCAGGGGCUCUUCGGACCUUGCGCUAAUAGAUGAGCCUAAGCCGGAUUAGCUAGUUGGUGGGGUAAAGGCCUACCAAGGCGACGAUCGGUAGCGGGUCUGAGAGGAUGAUCCGCCACACGGGGACUGAGACACGGCGCAGACCCCUACGGGAGGCAGCAGUGGGGAAUAUUGGACAAUGGGGGAAACCCUGAUCCAGCCAUGCCGCGUGUGUGAAGAAGGCCUUAUGGUUGUAAAGCACUUUAAGCGAGGAGGAGGCUACUGAGACUAAUACUCUUGGAUAGUGGACGUUACUCGCAGAAUAAGCACCGGCUAACUCUGUGCCAGCCGCCGCCGUAA
rnacentral:rRNA from 1 species